rnacentral:rRNA from 1 species
ACUCCUACGGGAGGCAGCAGUGGGGAAUAUUGCACAAUGGGCGCAAGCCUGAUGCAGCAACGCCGUGUGAGUGAAGAAGGUUUUCGGAUCGUAAACUCUGUCCUAAGGGAAGAAACAAAUGACGGUACCUUAGGAGGAAGCCCCGGCUAACUACGUGCCAGCAGCCGCGGUAAUACGUAGGGGGCAAGCGUUAUCCGGAAUCACUGGGCGUAAAGGGUGCGUAGGCGGCUUAGCAAGCCAGGGUGAAAGGCAUUGGCUCAACCAAUGUAAGCCUUUGGAACUGUUAAGCUUGAGUGCAGGAGAGGUAAGUGGAAUUCCUAGUGUAGAGGUGAAAUUCGUAGAUAUUAGGAGGAACACCAGUGGCGAAGGCGACUUACUGGACUGUAACUGACGCUGAUGCACGAAAGCGUGGGUAGCGAACAGGAUUAGAUACCCUGGUAGCGACUGA